rnacentral:rRNA from 2 species
UUAAGUUAUUAAGGGCGCACGGUGGAUGCCUUGGCACUAGAAGCCGAUGAAGGACGUUACUAACGACGAUAUGCUUUGGGGAGCUGUAAGUAAGCUUUGAUCCAGAGAUUUCCGAAUGGGGAAACCCAGCAUGAGUUAUGUCAUGUUAUCGAUAUGUGAAUACAUAGCAUAUCAGAAGGCACACCCGGAGAACUGAAACAUCUUAGUACCCGGAGGAAGAGAAAGAAAAUUCGAUUCCCUUAGUAGCGGCGAGCGAAACGGGAAGAGCCCAAACCAACAAGCUUGCUUGUUGGGGUUGUAGGACACUCUAUACGGAGUUACAAAGGACGACAUUAGACGAAUCAUCUGGAAAGAUGAAUCAAAGAAGGUAAUAAUCCUGUAGUCGAAAAUGUUGUCUCUCUUGAGUGGAUCCUGAGUACGACGGAGCACGUGAAAUUCCGUCGGAAUCUGGGAGGACCAUCUCCUAAGGCUAAAUACUCUCUAGUGACCGAUAGUGAACCAGUACCGUGAGGGAAAGGUGAAAAGCACCCCGGAAGGGGAGUGAAAUAGAACCUGAAACCGUGUGCUUACAAGUAGUCAGAGCCCGUUAAUGGGUGAUGGCGUGCCUUUUGUAGAAUGAACCGGCGAGUUACGAUUUGAUGCAAGGUUAAGCAGUAAAUGUGGAGCCGUAGCGAAAGCGAGUCUGAAUAGGGCGUUUAGUAUUUGGUCGUAGACCCGAAACCAGGUGAUCUACCCUUGGUCAGGUUGAAGUUCAGGUAACACUGAAUGGAGGACCGAACCGACUUACGUUGAAAAGUGAGCGGAUGAACUGAGGGUAGCGGAGAAAUUCCAAUCGAACCUGGAGAUAGCUGGUUCUCUCCGAAAUAGCUUUAGGGCUAGCCUCAAGUGAUGAUUAUUGGAGGUAGAGCACUGUUUGGACGAGGGGCCCCUCUCGGGUUACCGAAUUCAGACAAACUCCGAAUGCCAAUUAAUUUAACUUGGGAGUCAGAACAUGGGUGAUAAGGUCCGUGUUCGAAAGGGAAACAGCCCAGACCACCAGCUAAGGUCCCAAAAUAUAUGUUAAGUGGAAAAGGAUGUGGCGUUGCCCAGACAACUAGGAUGUUGGCUUAGAAGCAGCCAUCAUUUAAAGAGUGCGUAAUAGCUCACUAGUCGAGUGACACUGCGCCGAAAAUGUACCGGGGCUAAACAUAUUACCGAAGCUGUGGAUUGUCCUUUGGACAAUGGUAGGAGAGCGUUCUAAGGGCGUUGAAGCAUGAUCGUAAGGACAUGUGGAGCGCUUAGAAGUGAGAAUGCCGGUGUGAGUAGCGAAAGACGGGUGAGAAUCCCGUCCACCGAUUGACUAAGGUUUCCAGAGGAAGGCUCGUCCGCUCUGGGUUAGUCGGGUCCUAAGCUGAGGCCGACAGGCGUAGGCGAUGGAUAACAGGUUGAUAUUCCUGUACCACCUAUAAUCGUUUUAAUCGAUGGGGGGACGCAGUAGGAUAGGCGAAGCGUGCGAUUGGAUUGCACGUCUAAGCAGUAAGGCUGAGUAUUAGGCAAAUCCGGUACUCGUUAAGGCUGAGCUGUGAUGGGGAGAAGACAUUGUGUCUUCGAGUCGUUGAUUUCACACUGCCGAGAAAAGCCUCUAGAUAGAAAAUAGGUGCCCGUACCGCAAACCGACACAGGUAGUCAAGAUGAGAAUUCUAAGGUGAGCGAGCGAACUCUCGUUAAGGAACUCGGCAAAAUGACCCCGUAACUUCGGGAGAAGGGGUGCUCUUUAGGGUUAACGCCCAGAAGAGCCGCAGUGAAUAGGCCCAAGCGACUGUUUAUCAAAAACACAGGUCUCUGCUAAACCGUAAGGUGAUGUAUAGGGGCUGACGCCUGCCCGGUGCUGGAAGGUUAAGAGGAGUGGUUAGCUUCUGCGAAGCUACGAAUCGAAGCCCCAGUAAACGGCGGCCGUAACUAUAACGGUCCUAAGGUAGCGAAAUUCCUUGUCGGGUAAGUUCCGACCCGCACGAAAGGCGUAACGAUUUGGGCACUGUCUCAACGAGAGACUCGGUGAAAUCAUAGUACCUGUGAAGAUGCAGGUUACCCGCGACAGGACGGAAAGACCCCGUGGAGCUUUACUGUAGCCUGAUAUUGAAAUUCGGCACAGCUUGUACAGGAUAGGUAGGAGCCUUUGAAACGUGAGCGCUAGCUUACGUGGAGGCGCUGGUGGGAUACUACCCUAGCUGUGUUGGCUUUCUAACCCGCACCACUUAUCGUGGUGGGAGACAGUGUCAGGCGGGCAGUUUGACUGGGGCGGUCGCCUCCUAAAAGGUAACGGAGGCGCUCAAAGGUUCCCUCAGAAUGGUUGGAAAUCAUUCAUAGAGUGUAAAGGCAUAAGGGAGCUUGACUGCGAGACCUACAAGUCGAGCAGGGUCGAAAGACGGACUUAGUGAUCCGGUGGUUCCGCAUGGAAGGGCCAUCGCUCAACGGAUAAAAGCUACCCCGGGGAUAACAGGCUUAUCUCCCCCAAGAGUUCACAUCGACGGGGAGGUUUGGCACCUCGAUGUCGGCUCAUCGCAUCCUGGGGCUGUAGUCGGUCCCAAGGGUUGGGCUGUUCGCCCAUUAAAGCGGUACGCGAGCUGGGUUCAGAACGUCGUGAGACAGUUCGGUCCCUAUCCGUCGUGGGCGUAGGAAAUUUGAGAGGAGCUGUCCUUAGUACGAGAGGACCGGGAUGGACAUACCUCUGGUGUACCAGUUGUCGUGCCAACGGCAUAGCUGGGUAGCUAUGUGUGGACGGGAUAAGUGCUGAAAGCAUCUAAGCAUGAAGCCCCCCUCAAGAUGAGAUUUCCCAACUUCGGUUAUAAGAUCCCUCAAAGAUGAUGAGGUUAAUAGGUUCGAGGUGGAAGCAUGGUGACAUGUGGAGCUGACGAAUACUAAUCGAUCGAAG